UACAGGGGGGGCAAGCGUUGUUCGGAAUUACUGGGCGUAAAGGGUUCGUAGGUGGCCACCUAAGUCAGACGUGAAAUCCCUCAGCUUAACUGGGGAACUGCGUCUGAUACUGGGUGGCUUGAGUGCAGGAGAGGAAUGCGGAAUUCCAGGUGUAGCGGUGAAAUGCGUAGAUAUCUGGAGGAACACCGGUGGUGUAGACGGCUUUCUGGACCAUAACUGACGCUGAGACACGAAAGCGUGGGUAGCAAACAGG
rnacentral:rRNA from 1 species